rnacentral:rRNA from 1 species
CCUACGGGGGGCAGCAGUGAGGAAUAUUGGUCAAUGGACGAGAGUCUGAACCAGCCAAGUAGCGUGAAGGAUGACUGCCCUAUGGGUUGUAAACUUCUUUUAUAAAGGAAUAAAACGCGGCACGUGUGCCUUUUUGCAUGUACUUUAUGAAUAAGGAUCGGCUAACUCCGUGCCAGCAGCCGCGGUAAUACGGAGGAUCCGAGCGUUAUCCGGAUUUAUUGGGUUUAAAGGGAGCGUAGAUGGGUUGUUAAGUCAGUUGGGAAAGUUUGGGGCUCAACCGUAAAAUUGCAUUUGAUACUGGCGGUCUAGAGUACAGUUGAGGUAGGCGGAAUUCGUGGUGUAGCGGUGAAAUGCUUAGAUAUCACGAAGAACCCCGAUUGCGAAGGCAGCUUACUAAACUGUAACUGACGUUGAUGCUCGAAAGUGUGGGUAUCAAACAGGAUUAGAUACCCGGGUAGUC